GGCGGGGAGCGGCGGCGCGAUGGACCGAAUCACAAGUUGCGACAGAGGCAACAAGGAGCCCAAUCGAAGAGGGAGGCCCAGAUGUCGCCGUGCCCUCGCCUCCGCCUCCGCCUCCGCCCCCGCCGCUGGAUCGCCCUGCCCGCCGGCGAAGGACGCCGUCCGGUCUUGGAGUCGGCCUUGCGCAGGAUCUCCCACAUGACGCGCACGUCCUCGUACUCGCACGUCCUCACCUCCUUCCGUAGCUUCUUCAGCCCUGUUCAUGGGAGGCGGCAGAGCGUCAGAAGCCCGGAUGGAUGAAUCAGGCCAUCCAUGGCGCAUGGGUGAGAGACCUUACCGGUCCUUUGGACGCCGAGACGGGUGGCGACGCCGAUCCACACUCGACGCGUCGGGAACACCACCACCCGCUCCCACCACGCCAUCCUAAGUCCCUUCCCCUCUUCUCUUCCUCCGACGAGAGAGAAAGAGAAGAGUUGCCGUCCCUGGUUGUGGAGGAAGCGUCUCUUAUUCUGCAGCGAGGUGCACGGGCGAAAGAACGCGUGAUCAGCGUCGUCGACAGCCCCCGCGACGCGGGCUUGGGAAGUGGCGUCGUCCGCACGCGUCGAUGCUCCAGUGGGCGGGGGGAUGUUUCUCGACUUCCUUUGAAUUCUGCACGCCAUCUGUUUGCGUUCGGGCCCAAGUGUCGAUGCUCCAGAGCAUGGAACGCUCAUGAAUUCUUAUGGACGUGUCUCCGUCUGAUGGAUUUGUAGGAGAAAUGGAUACCCAUUGGGUUUGGGUUCGAUCCAGAUUUGUGAGUGCCGCACCCAUCACCAUCGCUAAUGCUGGACUAAUUCCUUUUACUUAAAGGUAAAAUUACAAAUAUCUUCCAUACUAAGUUAUCCACCGUUGGAUCCAACAUUUUUGCGGUGUUGUACGCUUCUAAACACCGGAAUGGUCAUUACGCUAACUCGGUGGGACAUACGUGUGACCCCACAGCUGGGUGCCCCUCCUUACUCUGGGUAGCUUUCUGAGGGUCGGCGGACGGGUAGUGAGUAUGGAAAGGCAGGUAGAUUUGGAUCUGUCAAGAUGGCUCGUUUCAUUUAACCCGCGAGAUGAAGAUGAGGGAGUGUGAAUAAGAGAUGCGCUUGAUCGCCAUUUCCUCGUCGCCGACCUCCUAGCGGUGGAGCUCCUAGCCGUCUCCGAAGGGUUGGCCUCCGCCUCCGCCUCCGCCUCCGCCCCUGCCGCUUCCGUCGUUGGUCGUCGAUCCUCGUGUCCAGAUCAAGGUCCGCGAGGUCGGCAACCGGACCUCCAUGUCCAAGGCGAAACCGAUGUCGGCGUCGUCCAGCCCAAGGAGUACUGGGAUUACGAGUCCAUACAAUGAGAUUAUGAAGCGAUUUUAUGAAGUGAUAUAUGAGAUGGCUACUUCUUAAGAAGCAAAGAUCGUAUGGUGAUGAUUUCUCUAACAUUUCCCCAGUCUUCUUCAGUGAUCAGGAUGACAAAUGGGCUUUCAAAAAAGUUGACAGAGGGGGAAUAUAGUGGCCUUUUUUUUUUUUUUCGUGGAGGGAAUGAUUUUUUUUCAACAAUAAGUUACUGUUAAGUUUUUUUGAUGUAAUUUUUAUCACAUUAUUUUUCAAAUAAAUUAUUGAUUAUGUA